UCAAGUUCUUUCUUGAGCAAUUAGGAUAUUCUGAAGAUGUGCUCCCUCAGGAUAUUAAAGCUUCUCUGCGUGAAAUGAUGCUUAGAGACAAGAAACUGAGGGCCAAAUUGGGCAAAUAUUUUUGGAUAGAUGAAAAAGGAGGAAAGUCAAAGGGCAAGACAACCAAAUUAAAUUCAGAAGCAAGAAGCCAAAAGGAAGA